rnacentral:rRNA from 1 species
GGCGCACGGGUGCGUAAUGCGUAUGCAAUCUACCUUGUACAGGGGGAUAGCCCAGAGAAAUUUGGAUUAAUACCCCAUAGUAUUAUGAAUCGGCAUCGGUUUAUGAUUAAAGUUCCAACGGUACAAGAUGAGCAUGCGUCCCAUUAGUUAGUUGGUGUGGUAACGGCGCACCAAGACUAUGAUGGGUAGGGGUCCUGAGAGGGAGAUCCCCCACACUGGUACUGAGACACGGACCAGACUCCUACGGGAGGCAGCAGUGAGGAAUAUUGGGCAAUGGACGCAAGUCUGACCCAGCCAUGCCGCGUGCAGGAAGACGGUCCUAUGGAUUGUAAACUGCUUUUAUACAGGAAGAAACCUCCCUACGUGUAGGGACUUGACGGUACUGUAGGAAUAAGGAUCGGCUAACUCCGUGCCAGCAGCCGCGGUAAUACGGAGGAUCCAAGCGUUAUCCGGAAUCAUUGGGUUUAAAGGGUCCGUAGGCGGCCUUAUAAGUCAGUGGUGAAAUCUCCUAGCUCAACUAGGAAACUGCCAUUGAUACUGUAGGGCUUGAAUUAUUGUGAAGUAACUAGAAUAUGUAGUGUAGCGGUGAAAUGCUUAGAUAUUACAUGGAAUACCAAUUGCGAAGGCAGGUUACUAACAAUAUAUUGACGCUGAUGGACGAAAGCGUGGGGAGCGAACAGGAUUAGAUACCCUGGUAGUCCACGCCGUAAACGAUGGAUWCUAGCUGUUGGG